UCCACUUUAAGUUCUGGGAUACAUGUGCAGAACGUGUAGGUUUGUUACACAGGUAUACAUGUGCCAUGGUGGUUUGCUGCACACCUACUGACCCAUCCUCUACUCACUGUCUCUUGAUCAUCAAAUUCACUCUAGCCCCAGGGCCUUUGCAUGUGAUAUGUGCUUUCUGUGUAUUUGCUGAGUUCUUCUCUGUGCUCUCCCCGUGCUGGUUCAGCUCAAAGGUCACUUCCUCAGAGAGGCUUUUUCUAAUGACUCUUCUCCAACCGGCCCCGUACUCUUUAUCACACUAGCCACCUGUCUCCUGCUCACCCCACCCCAUCCUGCCACUGGACAAAAGGCUCAAGGCCCUUGCACUUGAAACAGAUCUCUUGCCUUUUGCCCUGUUGAGUCUGCUUUCUACCACCUCAGUCUGCUAUCCUUGUUCUAGUGGCACUGCAGAUGCAACACAUUUAUUUAUUUAUUUGUUUAUUUACUUAUUUAAGACAGAAUCUCACUCUGUAGCCUCGGCUGGAAUGCAGUGGCGUGAUCUUGGCUCACUGCAACCUCUGCCUCCCAGGUUCAAGCAAUUCUCCUGCCUCAGCCUCCCAAGUACCUGGGACUACAGGCGUGUGCCACCCACGCCCGGCUAAUUUUUGUAUUUUCAGUAGAGACAGAGUUUCACCACGUUGGCCAGGCUGGUCUUGAACUCCUGACCUUGUGAUCCACUCGCCUCAGCCUCCCAAAGUGCUGAGAUUACAGGCAUGAGCCACCAUGCCCGGCCACAA
rnacentral:lncRNA from 1 species